AAGUCGUAACAAGGUUUCCGUAGGUGAACCUGCGGAAGGAUCAUUAACACGUAUCCACGUAUACUACCCUUUAUCAACACUUACACUGAACUGUGCUCCCUGUUGUCCAACCGUAUCGCUGUCUUUCUCUGACUAUGGUGGGGCCCUGUUCUGUCAAAGGUUCAGUGUGUCACGUCAGGCUGGGCUAUCACUCCUUGAGAGUGUGGCGAUGCAACUGGCAUCAAACAGGCUUACUAACUCUCACUGCGCGUGGUGAAUUCCAAUCCCAACCACUUUGGGCCGCGGCUGAGGACACCAUACCCUUUUCACGAUACUUUACCAAUUUGACUAAUUAUGAAUCUUCUCGGAGAGAAAUCUCUUGGAAGUCUAAGAUUUAUCUUAACUAAGCACAACUCUUAGCAAUGGAUAUCUUGGUUCUC
rnacentral:misc_RNA from 1 species